UACCCUCGGACUGGAGCUUCCUGUUGUACACAUGACAACUUUCAGAGAAGAAGCCUGGUGGUUAUGAGAGGAAACUUCCACGGAACUACACAGGUUUACUUAAACAUAAGAGGAAAGGAGAACCAGUCCCUGGCACAUUUAUUUUGCUAAUACUGCUGACGCAUACCUCACUUCAUAGUGCUGACGUCUUACUAAAGGACAUCCAGGACAGUUUCAGCUAUUCCAGUGUUUAUUUUUAC
rnacentral:lncRNA from 1 species